AUCCCUCGAGUCUCCUUCGUCCCUUCCUUUGAAACCUGCCCAGCGGCGUUGGCUCGGCCUUCCCGUAUGCUUCCGCUUGCCUGCAUGCGCCUAGGCGUGCGGGGCACGGUUCGUCUGGGCGUGCUGUGUUUGCGGACCGUGGUGGCGGAUGAGCGGUGUGUGGGUUGUGCUUCUGUCUGGCUCCUUGCCUCGCGCAACGAACGGGCGCACCGGAUCCUCUCCAUGUGUGGGCUCGAGCUACCGUGCUCGUUCCACUGUUGUGCGGCUCCUGUGUUUCCUACC